AAAGAACUUAGUAAGAAACUUUUGAGCAAGAUCAUUUCAUGUUGUUAUUGAACUAGUGGGGAGCGCAUUCAACCAUGCUUUAACUUUUUCCCUUAAUGAAAAAGAAAAAAGCCUCAAACGAAUUACAUCAUCUGUGACACCAUUAUGUUUAAAAGUGUCACAAAUCUCCAAUAAGUUUGCUAUAUGGCCAUUGGGAUCAUCAUUUGGAAGGCCCCAAAAUUGAACUAAGGUUUGAAUCAUGGUGAUAAUACUGGCUUGAUCUCUAAAUUGUUUGCUUGAAUAGCUGGCCUUCGAAUGCUUGAUGGAAUUUCUUGUACUAGAGGAAUAGCAUAAUUCCUUAAGCAACGAUUAUCAACUACUACGCAUUUUUGGAUUUGCUGUUCGCCGUGUUGAUAAGCC
rnacentral:lncRNA from 1 species